AACGAACGCUGGCGGCAUGCCUAACACAUGCAAGUCGAACGAGACCUUCGGGUCUAGUUGCGCACGGGUGCGUAACGCGGGGGAACCUGCCCUUAGGUUCGGAAUAACUCCCCGAAAGGGGUGCUAAUACCGGAAAAUGUCUUCGGACCAAAGAUUUAUCGCCCUUGGAUGGGCCCGCGUUGGAUUAGCUAGUUGGUAGGGUAAAAGCCUCCCAAGGCGACGAUCCAUAGCUGGCCUGAGAGGAUGAUCAGCCACACUGGGACUGCGACACGGCCCAGACUCCUACGGGAGGCAGCGGUGGGGAAUAUUGUGCAAUGGGCGAGAGUCUGAUCCAGCAGUGCCGCGUGAGUGAUGCAGGCCUUAGGGUUGUACAGCUCUGUUACCCGUGAUGAUAAUGACGGUACCGGGAGAAUAAGCGCCGGCUAACUCCGUG
rnacentral:rRNA from 1 species